UCCCUUCCCUCUUCUUUCUUCAUCCCCUUCCCUCCCCUUCCCUUCUUCUCUGCCACACCGUCCUAAAACCUAUUUCUUCCUCUCAUAUUUUACUUGUAGGUAGCGUAUGAGAGGAAGGGAUAGGUGGUAGAUCAGUAUAUAGUCGGUAUUAAAUAUAGACAUCAUUUCUAUAGGUCAAAGAGGGGGUCAGUUGGGUUCUAAUGAGUGUUUCUUUAGUUUCAUGGUACAGAAGAAGGGUCACACUACCACCAGGGUCAUAAAACUGCUGGAAAUGCCUGAAACUCCUAGGAAAGCUUUGUCAAAUAUGUUCUUUUAGGUUCACGGUACAGAGGAAGGGUCACACUACCACCAGGGCCAUAAAACUACCCCUGGAAAUGCCCACAACUCCUACGAAAGCCUUGUCAAAUAUGUUCUUUUAGGUUCAUGGUACAGAGGAAGGGUCACACUACCACCAGGGUCAUAAAACUACUGGAAAUGCCCACAACUCCUACGAAAGCCUUGCCAAAUAUGUUCUUUUAGGUUCAUGGUACAGAGGAAGGGUCACACUACCACCAGGGUCAUAAAACUACUCCUGGAAAUGCCCACAACUCCUACGAAAGCCUUGUCAAAUAUGUUCUUUUAGGUUCACGGUACAGAGGAAGGGUCACACUACCACCAGGGUCAUAAAGCUACUCCUGGAAAUGCCCACAACUCCUACGAAAGCCUUGUCAAAUAUGUUCUUUUAGGUUCACGGUACAGAGGAAGGGUCACACUACCACCAGGGUCAUAAAACUACUCCUGGAAAUGCCCAAAACUCCUACGAAAGCCUUGUUAAAUAUGUUCUUUCAGGUUCAUGGUACAGAGGAAGGGUCACACUACCACCAGGGUCAUAAAACUACCCCUGGAAAUGCCCACAACUCCUACGAAAGCCUUGUCAAAUAUGUUCUUUUAGGUUCACGGUACAGAGGAAGGGUCACACUACCACCAGGGUCAUAAAGCUACUCCUGGAAAUGCCCACAACUCCUACGAAAGCCUUGUCAAAUAUGUUCUUUUAGGUUCAUGGUACAGAGGAAGGGUCACACUACCACCAGGGUCAUAAAACUACCCCUGGAAAUGCCCACAACUCCUACGAAAGCCUUGUCAAAUAUGUUCUUUUAGGUUCAUGGUACAGAGGAAGGGUCACACUACCACCAGGGUCAUAAAACUACCCCUGGAAAUGCCCACAACUCCUACGAAAGCCUUGUCAAAUAUGUUCUUUUAGGUUCACGGUACAGAGGAAGGGUCACACUACCACCAGGGUCAUAAAGCUACUCCUGGAAAUGCCCACAACUCCUACGAAAGCCUUGUCAAAUAUGUUCUUUUAGGUUCACGGUACAGAGGAAGGGUCACACUACCACCAGGGUCAUAAAGCUACUCCUGGAAAUGCCCACAACUCCUACGAAAGCCUUGUCAAAUAUGUGUUCUUGGGGGAUGAAAUGUUUUGUGGUACGACCCGUGUGGCAGAGCAGAGGGGAGGAAGGGACCCGCGGAAUCGAACGCCCAAUCGGACUGUUUGAAAUGGUUUGACCCUCGUGGCAAUUCAGUGACAAUUUCUCAGCAAUAGGUAAUUUAUGAACUCGCAUUAUCGUUUUUAUUAAUUAAUUUUACGUCAUCAGCGAAAAUAAUAGAAAUAAUUAACCCACGUAUAAAUUCGCCUGUAAUAUCAAUUUAGUCAUACAUGAGUUACCCGGCAGGAGAACAAAACUGAACACACAUCAACCUUUUGCAUUAGUCACGUUGAUGCAGCACUUAAGUCAUCCACUUAUUUCAAGUGUUAGUAAUUUAGCGUCGUAAUUACUUCCCGGCAGAAAAGAAUUGAUAAACAUUUUUCCAUUAAUUAUUUUUAUUAUCUGUUGCAAGCAAUGAAAUGCAUAAAUAAUUUAGCAAUAAUUUCUGUAAUUUCUUAUUAAUGAUAAUUUAGUCAUGUAUUAAUUUCCUAUCAAAAUAUGAUCAAUAAACACAAACCUUUGUCCUUAAUUCUCUUGUAUGAAUAAAUGAC